GUUGAUAUUUCCGGAUGAAAAGGAGAAAAAAAUUGGUAUGAAGGAAAAAAAAGGGGGUGAGUGAGGGAAAUAGAGAAGGGGAAGUGAUGGAAUUGGUGGGAGGAUGCGCAUUCUGACAGACGAGACUAUCCUCCUCUUCUCUUUUUCG
ensembl:ncRNA F52D10.8 ncRNA